AGUGAACGCUGGCGGUAGGCCUAACACAUGCAAGUCGAACGGCAGCACAGAGGAGCUUGCUCCUUGGGUGGCGAGUGGCGGACGGGUGAGGAAUACAUCGGAAUCUACUCUGUCGUGGGGGAUAACGUAGGGAAACUUACGCUAAUACCGCAUACGACCUACGGGUGAAAGCAGGGGAUCUUCGGACCUUGCGCGAUUGAAUGAGCCGGUGUCGGAUGAGUUAGUUGGCGGGGUAAAGGCCCACCAAGGCGACGAUCCGUAGCUGGUCUGAGAGGAUGAUCAGCCACACUGGAACUGAGACACGGUCCAGACUCCUACGGGAGGCAGCAGUGGGGAAUAUUGGACAAUGGGCGCAAGCCUGAUCCAGCCAUACCGCGUGGGUGAAGAAGGCCUUCGGGUUGUAAAGCCCUUUUGUUGGGAAAGAAAUCCAGCUGGUUAAUACCCGGUUGGGAUGACGGUACCCAAAGAAUAAGCACCGGCUAACUUCGUGCCAGCCGCCGCCGUAA
rnacentral:rRNA from 1 species